GCGCGAUUGGCUCAGCGGAAGAGCGCCGCCUUCACACGGCGGAGGUCACUGGUUCAAAUCCAGUAUCGCGCACCA
rnacentral:tRNA from 1 species